rnacentral:rRNA from 1 species
UACGUAGGGUGCAAGCGUUGUCCGGAAUUAUUGGGCGUAAAGAGCUCGUAGGCGGUCUGUCACGUCGGAUGUGAAAAUCAGGGCUCAACCCUGGACCUGCAUUCGAUACGGGCAGACUGGAGUACUGCAGGGGAGACUGGAAUUCCUGGUGUAGCGGUGGAAUGCGCAGAUAUCAGGAGGAACACCGGUGGCGAAGGCGGGUCUCUGGGCAGUAACUGACGCUGAGGAGCGAAAGCGUGGGGAGCGAACAGG